rnacentral:rRNA from 1 species
CCAGACUCCUACGGGAGGCAGCAGUGGGGAAUAUUGCACAAUGGGGGAAACCCUGAUGCAGCGACGCCGCGUGAGUGAAGAAGUAUCUCGGUACGUAAAGCUCUAUCAGCAGGGAAGAAAAUGACGGUACCUGACUAAGAAGCCCCGGCUGACUACGUGCCAGCAGCCGCGGUAAUACGUAGGGGGCAAGCGUUAUCCGGAUUUACUGGGUGUAAAGGGAGCGUAGACGGCAGCACAAGUCUGGAGUGAAAUCCCGGGGCUUAACCCCGGAACUGCUUUGGAAACUGUGCGGCUGGAGUGCAGGAGAGGCAAGCGGAAUUCCUAGUGUAGCGGUGAAAUGCGUAGAUAUUAGGAAGAACACCAGUGGCGAAGGCGGCUUGCUGGACAGUAACUGACGUUGAGGCUCGAAAGCGUGGGGAGCAAACAGGAUUAGAUACCCUCGUA